CUUCGGAGAUACAGUAAGUGGCGACGGGUGAGUAAAAUGUAGAGAAUCUGCCCUAGAGAUGGGGACAACAGUUGGAAACGGCUGCUAAUACCCAAUAUGAGCGUAGUUGAAAUACGUAUCUUGAAAACUCCGGUGCUCUGGGAUGAGUCUGCAUCUGAUUAGCUAGUUGGGGGGUGUAAUGGACCACCAAGGCGACGAUCAGUAGCUAGUUUGAGAGGAUGAUCAGCCACAAUGGGACUGAGACACGGCCCAUACUCCUACGGGAGGCAGCAGUAGGGAAUUUUGCGCAAUGGGGGAAACCCUGACGCCAGCAACGCCGCGUGACUGAAGAAGCCCUUCGGGGUGUAAAGGUCUGUCAGUGGGGACGAAUAUUGACGGUACCCACAGAGGAAGCAUCGGCUAACUCCGUGCCAGCCGCGGC
rnacentral:rRNA from 1 species